rnacentral:lncRNA from 1 species
AUUUGGAGAGGUAAAUGUUCCAGCAGCUUCGUAUAGGGAAGAGCCGCAGCAAGAUGUUCCAGCAGCUUCACAUAAGGAGGAGGAGGAGCUGCUUUUACCUUUUGUGAUAAAAAGGAUGGUGAAAACGGCGGUUGCCGAAGCUAUGAAGGAUGUGUAUAAGAGAUUGGAGAAGCUUGAGAGGGAAGCUGAAGCAAGGAAAGAUGGAGAAUGGGAUGAGGCGGGUGUUAGAGGUUGUUUUGAGAAGAAUGGUGUUGACACAUUUGAUGAUGAGACAGGUUUUGAGAAGAAUGGUGAGCCGGCUUUUGAGAAGAAUGUUGAGUCUGGUUUUGAGGAGAAUGUUGAGCCAGCUGUUGGAGGUGAUGAUACAGUUGAUGAUGGCUCUAUUGGUGGGCAGAAAACUGGGGGUGAUGAGGCAGCUGAGUUACAGAUGGUUGGUGAAAAGGAAACUGGGGGUGAUGAGGCGGCUGAGUUACAAAUGGUUGGUGAAAAGAAAACUGGUGGGGAUAUCGUAAAAAAGCAGAAGUUCAAGCAGUGUGCUAAGAAGAAAUGUAACUUGGCACCGAAAAGGAAACUAAAGCCUUCAAUCCAUGUCAAGGCUCGUUACCUGCCCAGUCUAAACCCGAUUCACUUAUAGGAGGUGAUUCAGUAAAGAAUGCCUCAAAGUCAAGCGGGUUGAAGGCCGAAGUAGGAAGAGCUGCCAAGCGACUCCGUUUUUCAGAAAGGUUAGUCGACAGCUCGGUCCUUUCUUGCUCCUCGGAGAAAUCUGCUUCAUGGAUUUGAUCCAGCAGAAUCAGGUUGCUUUCAUGCUCCUUGAUGUCUGACUCCAAGUCCGACCUAGCCUUCUCGGUUUGCAUGAAGCGAAUGGCCCCUUGGAUCAGCUCCAUCCCGCGUCCCUUAACCUCCUUUCUGGCCUUCGAUGCCGACCUUGCCAACUCGGAGUCACGCAAUUUGGCAAUCGCCUUGUAUUUCGCGUUAAGCUCGAUGAGUUGGUUGUUCAGGGAAUCAGCGUUUGAUUCGGACUCUUGAAGCCUACCCUGAACACCAGAAAACUCUUCCUGAAGCUUGAAGUUCUGGUCGUACUGACCCUGCAGCUCCCCCUUUAUCUGCGCAAGCUCCGAUGUUAAACUGUCGACCUUGUCCUCCAGAUCGUGCUUGGAGCCGACAGAAGAACUAAGUUCAGCCUCAAGGGAAGAGAGGCUGUCCAUACGUCAAUCUCCUUCUCCCGUCCAAGGACCAACCCUUCGUAAUGUUCGAUCAUGUCGUUAAGUUCGCUAUGAGCCUGGUGUCAUACAUGAACCCGGGAUGACGAGUCAGUUCGCAGAAUGGCAAUACAAUAAAAAAUAUAUACAUAAAAGAAAGCGGAACUAACCCGAGAUGAGUGAUGCGCGUGAAGCAAAUAACGUUCACGAAUCGCAGGGCGCCAUUUGUCGAAGUCUGGCAAGAUCGAACCCGACCGGGUCUUGAAGCAUCGGAAGACGCUGCCCUCUUUCUCCAUAGCUGCGAAGAAGGAAGAGUUGUAAAAAUUGGAAUUUUAAUAAAGACAAAAAGUUUAAGUAUGUGUAAAUCACCAAACCUGAAAGCGAUUUGACUUGAGGGACAAGAGCAGGCUUCAGCCUCGAGGGAGCAUCUCGAGAUUCAGAAUCUCCCUUUUUCGGAGACGCGCUCCGGGCAGUCUUUCCACUAUCCGGCUGGGAAGAGGAGGACAUGUCAACCGGUCGUGGAGGGCCCAUUGGUUCAGAAGGAGGGGAUGACCGAGGUGAGCGGUCAGUCCGGGCCCUUGACUUUUCCCUCUGCGGGGAAGGAUCACUGCGAGAGGACUUGUCUCUCUUCCGGCGAACCAAGUUCUUAAUUGGCUCGUUACUAAAAUCAUCUCGGGGAGGACGUUGUGAAUCACGGCGAGGAGAUUGAUCCCUCCGAGGAGAACGUGAGUCGCGGCGGUCGCGACGAGGAGUUAGUCUGAAGGAAGCAACUGAUCGGGCUCCCUCGGUACUGCCAUCAUCAACCAGCAAGGUCCUACUAUAUUCCUUCUUGUCUAUAGAAGUCGCGAGAAACUUUUUCUUCUCCUCGCAAGCCUCAGCCAUCGGCUUGGAAAGCAACUUACGCUUGGCCGCAAGGGCCCGAGAUGACAUUCCCUGAGUUGAGGGAGGGGGAGGAAUUUGGUGAAGAUGACCAGGCGGGCUCAUCCUGAGUCUGUGGUUAGCCUCUAGGAAUCGUUCAAGAGUGAAGGAAUUCCAAAGGGUUUCCCCUUCAAGAAUUAUUUUGAAGAAUUCGAUGAACUCUUCAGAUGGGAGAUUGGAAGCGAUGAAAGCUGCGAAAUAAAACAACGGUGUUAGUCAAUAAAGAUAAAGAAACAACCAGGAAAGAUACGGGCAACCUAAUCACUACCGGGUUUCGCGGACCACUUCGAAGGGAGAAAAUCUGCGAGAUUUCCAAUCGAAGCGGGAGUUUUCUUAAUUAGAAACCAAGGAUGAUGCCAAUUUUCAUCCUUGUUCGGAAGAUGAGAAAUGAUGUUCCUGUUGGCAUUAGGAUAUGCUGAGAAGUACCCCGCUUUCUUCGAUGAACUUCUCACACUCAGAAGCUCAUUUAGUUCAGCAACUCCGAUAACGUAACCGGCCUCCGCCGCGAUUGUUAUGAUGCCGAGAAUAGUACGAAGAAGAUUGGGGGUUAAUUGAGGAAGAGCGAUUUCAAGGGCCGCUAGGUAUAAAAUUAGGGCUUCGGGAAGAGGAAAGGUCAGCCCGCAACCCUUGAAAUAAAUCUCAUACACACAGAAGUAACCAUCGCGAUGGUUCUCUGGAGAUUCUGUGGGGGAAGCUAUUUGUGCUUCCGCCAUAAUUUCCGGCGGAAUCCGGCAAAGCUCUCUCAAUCGCUCGAGGGAUUGAAGAGUACAAAUGGACCUAUAGUGCGGACCGGCAAUAUCACCAGGGCGGGUGCACUCGUCGUUACUAGAACGCCUCUCGUCGAAAGACGGAGACUCGGGUCUAUCGGAAUCAGAAGUCAUUGGGAAGAAAGAAAAAUUCAAGAUCCGGCGAAGAGGGGUUUUGGUGAAGGAACGGAGAGAGAGGUUUUGAUUAAAGUAUAAAAGUAAAAGAAGAGAGUAAUGGUGAAAAGAAGUUACCUCAAGCUAAUGAUGAAACCGCCUUGGAAGUCGUGUGGGAAGUGGGAAGGUUUUUCCCGUUUUAAUAGUAAUUAAUCAAUAUACGGUCAUAAUGAUGACAGAUGUCACUCGGUUAAAAAUGGCUAGUGCCGAAAUUAAAGGAGUGAUGGGAUUUUCGGCGGGAAAUCAGAAAGAUUCUCGAGCGCAAUCUUUGGCCACUUGAGCAUUUAAAGUCCUCCGAAUUGGAAUAGCACUUCGAAGAACUUGGGGGGCUAAUUGUUGGUGUCGGAUCCCGCACCAGAAGUACGAGACCAACCAAAGAUUGCCACGUAGUCAAGCGGGUGGCCCAUAAAGGAUGAAGCCCAUUGGGCCCGUGAACCGAGGGGACGGUCGAAGUGGUUGUCACCACUUCGAGAGUCCGAAGUGAAUGUACUGGGACGCGAGUUCGGUGUAGAAGACACGGGUAAGUCGGUUCAAGGACGCUUGGGCCAGAAAAGGCGAGGCCCAUGAAGAUCAGAGUCAACUCAAAUUCAAACGUUGAGCAUUAAAGUCGAAGAAUCAAAACGGACACAUUUAAGAAGGAAUAAUUGUACUUAAUUAUUCAUUUUAAUGCCAUUUCUCUAUGUAUAAAUAUAAAGGCCAAUGGCCAUGUAAAGGGGACCUUCCUCUCAAGAGAGAAAUACUAUAGCAAUUUUCGUAUCAAUUUACAAGUUUUUAUACGUUCAUUUUUGUCCCUCAAGAAUAAUCUUUCCUAUUUAAUAAAAUACUUGAGUGUGUGAAUCCGACAUCCACAAUGACGACUAUUUAUUUCCAGGGUUCAUAAUUUCUCUAGAGGUAAGAAAGUAGUUUUAUUAAUAAGUGUAUAUCUGUUUUGAAUGAUUAAAGAUAUGUGAUAUGUGAUAUGUGAUAAUAUGUACAGGUUUUGGCAUUUGAGUGCAUUCUCGAGCUGUCCAAACGAUUUCAAAUAGCUGUAAGAGGCGCAAAGGAUCAAUGUCCACUGAUGUGUAAGCGUAAAUUCAAAGAAACUGGAAUGUCUGGUUUUCCACUUGAAGAACUGAACAAUGCACUAGGGACAACUAAGGUAAGGUCUAGUGUCAAUUAUGCUUUACUGCAAGAUAGACAUUGUGGUAAUUCUUGUGUUGUAUAAUCUUUGCAGGACAUCAUUAGUAUCCUUAAACCAUCAGCGGGUGAGGAAGCUUUUUUGCUUAGCAUUAUGGAGCGAGCUGAAGUUGAAGAUUCAAUAGAUCCUAUAGCUGAUGCGUGGAACAACCGUCUUGAUGUAGAACAGAAAAGUAUUUGGUGGGAGAAUCUGUAUAAGUUAGAUGUUGCUGCUCGAGGAUUUGGAGAGGUAAAUGUUCCAGCAGCUUCGUAUAGGGAAGAGCCGCAGCAAGAUGUUCCAGCAGCUUCACAUAAGGAGGAGGAGGAGCUGCUUUUACCUUUUGUGAUAAAAAGGAUGGUGAAAACGGCGGUUGCCGAAGCUAUGAAGGAUGUGUAUAAGAGAUUGGAGAAGCUUGAGAGGGAAGCUGAAGCAAGGAAAGAUGGAGAAUGGGAUGAGGCGGGUGUUAGAGGUUGUUUUGAGAAGAAUGGUGUUGACACAUUUGAUGAUGAGACAGGUUUUGAGAAGAAUGGUGAGCCGGCUUUUGAGAAGAAUGUUGAGUCUGGUUUUGAGGAGAAUGUUGAGCCAGCUGUUGGAGGUGAUGAUACAGUUGAUGAUGGCUCUAUUGGUGGGCAGAAAACUGGGGGUGAUGAGGCAGCUGAGUUACAGAUGGUUGGUGAAAAGGAAACUGGGGGUGAUGAGGCGGCUGAGUUACAAAUGGUUGGUGAAAAGAAAACUGGUGGGGAUAUCGUAAAAAAGCAGAAGUUCAAGCAGUGUGCUAAGAAGAAAUGUAACUUGGCACCGAAAAGGAAACUAAAGCCUUCAAUCCAUGUCAAGGCU